rnacentral:rRNA from 1 species
UACGUAGGGUGCGAGCGUUAAUCGGAAUUACUGGGCGUAAAGCGUGCGCAGGCGGUUUUGUAAGACAGGCGUGAAAUCCCCGAGCUCAACUUGGGAAUUGCGCUUGUGACUGCAAGGCUAGAGUGUGUCAGAGGGGAGUAGAAUUCCACGUGUAGCAGUGAAAUGCGUAGAGAUGUGGAGGAAUACCGAUGGCGAAGGCAGCCCCCUGGGACAUGACUGACGCUCAUGCACGAAAGCGUGGGGAGCGAACAGG